CAAACGCAAACGCGAACCCAAACCCAAACCCACUCUCGUUCAUCAAUGGAGUUUUGGGGUGUCGAGGUGAAAAAUGGGGAGAUUCUGCCCGUUAUGUCUUGUGCGGGCAUGAUUUUGCGUCUGUCUCAAGCUUCUCUUGGUAAGUUGAAAGAGGAGAAAGGAAAUGAAUCUAUUUGCUUGUUUGCAACUGUUGAUGGAAAGAAGCUAGUCCUUGCAACACUGUAUACUACAAAACUGCCUCAGCAACAUCUAGGCAUGGUUUUCGAUAGAGAUUUCGAGCUAUCGCAUGACUGGGAAAAUGGAAGUGUUUACUUCUAUGGAUAUAGGAUUAAUAACCCUCUAAGAGAAGAAACCAAAUCUGAUGAAUCUGAAUCUGAAGAGGCUAUCCCAUAUACUGUUGCAAGUGAUGAGGUGAAACCCAAGGAUAAUAAUUCUCUCUCAACUUCUAUUCCUCUGUCUUCUCGCAACACGGAUGUUGAAAGGAUAAUACUGUCCGAGGAACAUUAUGCACUGUUUGAAGUGAACAUCUCAGAGCUUAUUAAUAACCCGUCAUCAUACUUCAAUUUUCGCCAGCGCUUGUUUGAGGUGAGCGGAGGAAAAAUCACGGAAGAAGGUCUACAAUUGAUGGCGGCUAGUCAAAGGCACCAAUUAUGUGUGAUUCUUGGUACCACAAAUACUUGGAACGAGGAUACCCCAACUAUUUACUCUGCCAUCCAGGUGUACAUUGAAGGAAGGAUCGCUGGCGUGCCUUAUGUAAAUGAUGGACUGCCCGAUUAUUAUUUGGAAUCUACUUAUGAUGCUAAUUGGCGAGUAAAUCCUUUCCUUGUUGGUGCUAAUAUUCUGAAUAUAUACACAUUGUUGGGGGAAGCAUAUGAUUGUAUUGCAGUAAAACUUUUGUCAAGAUAUUACAAUGGAGAUGCAGCUGAGGACGUUCUCCAAGUGGUUCCGCAGUUAGAGAGCCAUAUUUUAAAUCAGCUUCAGAGACGACAUUGGAAAGAGAUGCACUACCUUGGUGUCAUAAUUGAAAUGGAUCUUGUGCUAUUUGAUAGAUGGGUUUCAUAUGGUUUUUCAAUGUUAUCUUUUCCUAAAAAUAAGGAUGGUACCAAAGCCUGUGCAAUGAUUAAGCUGCUUAAAGAUAAUAUAUAUUUUAUCAAGGGCAAGCAAAGUGGGCACUUUUAUAUGGAGGGCGAGCGCUUAUUGUUCAACUUGUCCAGCACUAGGUUUGUAGAUCCUUGUUUCGCGUUGAGAAUACUGGACAAUAAUGCAUUUACUCCUCUAGCUGGUCCUGUUCUCUCUGGAUGGCACAACCCAUUAGACUGUGAAAGUGAGAUAGUGGAAGUCCUUAAUUAUAUUAUACGUGGAUGUGGGCGAGAGGAAUGGUAGAAAAAAAUCCCUUGUGGGCAGAAGCUAAAGAAGAAAAUGAUAGACUAAAAUAUUUAAAGAAAACUCUUGCAGGUGGCAGGUAAGCCUAUCUUUCUUUGCUUUAAUAGGACUCUACUAGUGUAGAAACAAUUAUCUAAAAACAAUCAAGUUAUUAGUUAUGUGAGAAAAUGAAUUUUGCCCACUACUCUUGACCUUCUAAGUAAUGUCUUUCAAAGUUUUUUAAAUAUACCGUGCACUCCUCAGAAGUGUUUCCAAAUUUCCCUCUUCCUUUUUGACAUAUUUUGAACCAUAAUUGCAUUUGUGUCAAACUUGGAUAAAGAUUUCCUUGAAUAAUACUCUAUUGUUCAAGGAAUAGUCUUGCAUAAUUGGCAUCCCUCGUGUACGAAUGUGUGCUUUUGUUUACAGCUCUGUGCACUUAAUCAACAAUACUUCUUUUUGUCAUUUGAGUAUCUGAAAAAGAUAGCUAUGAAUUGAUCUAAUUUCUCCAUUGUUGAGCCCAUCAUAUUUUUAACUUGUAAGAGGUUGAACGUUAAUGUUAAUUGACAAUUACUUCUAACGAUCUUUUCUUGUAAUAGGCUGCAUUGCAAUAUAUGCCAACAAUUGCCCGCUUAUACUUUCAAAGAUGGCUUCCUAUUUCGCUUUCCUCAAAUCAGAAAUUAGCUUUGCUGUAUCUUGGUUUGCAGGGAUAUUCUUUUGAGAGAUUUCGGGAAAUCAUAAAUAUUUCAGAAGAAGAAUUGGAUCUAUCACUACAAAAGAUACUCGAGGAAGGAUAUGAUUAUUUGUUACAGAAGAACCUAAGGAGGCAGGAGCAAUUUGCUGAGAAACACAGAAGCAUGCUAUUCUAACAUUUGGAAAUUGGUCAUGUUCAUUGGAAAUGGGCU